rnacentral:lncRNA from 1 species
UUUGGACAAGAUUUAAUGACUUGUGCAUGGUUGCUUAUCAUGGUUCCAUUUGGAUGAGUCACAUGAUCAUUUCCCAAUUGCAAAUGCAGGACUUCAUGUUAGACUUUCAGCAUCACUCAUGAUCAUUUUCAGACCUGAUUACAUCAUCUCAUGGACCUAUCACACGCCCAUGUAAGCAUGCACCUCACAAUUCUAUUUUUUUGCCAAAAUUUAAAAGGUGUGUAAGCAAUGAACAUGGCUAUAAAUACAUGCCAUUGGUGAU